GCGUUUGCCGCCGCCGGGCACAGCACAGCAGCGCGGAGGAGCUGCGAGACUGGAGGCGCUGGCGCUGUCCCGUGGGAAGGUUGAAUGGCAGCGCAGCGAGCGGAGGACUUCAGUCCCCGGGAUGUUUGGGUCUUUCCUGCGGUGGCACGCAUGCUUGCCCACGGGCUGCCUUGCACGGCCGAGGAGUUGACCUUUUCGGUCUCGAGCGCCAAGGCGACGCAAAUCAGAUGGCCGCCUGCUGCUUCUUUCCCUUUCAGUUGGCGGAGGGAAGCCCGCGCUGUGAACGCGACGCCCGCCCGGAGACAGAGAUGCAGAGCCUGCCUCCUGCCAGGAGGAGCGAGGAAGCUGCCUUGAGGCUGCUGGGUUGCGAGUUGAGUUGCUUGCUCUUUCUGCAGCCUUCCUGGCAGUCUAAAGGGAGAGAAGGAAACCCCCCUACUUUCCGGGAAUGAAAAACUUCCAGAGCUCUGCUCAAUGGGCCAAGGGGAGUAGGCGUGAAUUCCAGGGCGCAACCAUGGAAAGCGGGGGGCGGGGCGGGCUGCGAAUUUAAGCAUCUUUCUUUUUUGUCCAGUAUUGCAAAGGGUGCUCGACAAUGGAGCUUGGGCGCCUGCUAAGCUCAUUUCCCCACUUUCUGUCAACAGGGGAGGGUGAGGAGCAUUUCACCUCAAGAAACACAUUCAGAUGUGCAAGGUCAUUAUGACGACUGUAACACACGUGCAGGUUCUUCAAACAAAUCUACAUAUGAUAUGCGUAUGCAAGUAUUGUUCUUGACUUCUGUUUGGUACUGAUAUUUUAGUUUUUUAUGGCUUGAUUACUAAGUAGUUUUAUGUUGACUUCUUCUUCUUCUUCUUCUUCUUCUUCUUCUUCUUCUUCUUCUUCUUCUUCUUCUUCUUUUUAUUAUUAUUAUUAUUUUAUUAUUAUUAUUAUUUUGAUUUCUAUGUCUUAUAUUUCUAAACAUAUAAAGUGAAUAUCAAGGCAUUGAAUUCUGCUGUAAGUCUUCCAUUACAUAUUGCCAUUUUUUCCUACUGUUUUCCAGCUGUCAAAAAUGAUCCAGGUAUUGGUUGCUACACCUGAAAUAUUCUACCUCAGUCUCUGCCAAAUAGUCAUCUAGCUCAGUAUUGUCUGUACUGCCUGGCAGCAGCUCUCCAAGGUUUCUGGCAGGAGUCACUCCCAGCCCUACCUGGAGAACCUGGAGAUUGAACCUGGGACCUUCUGCAUGCAAAGCAGGUGCUCUACCACUGAGCUUUCUACAGAUGAAGCUGCCUUCUACCAAAUCAGAUCAUUGGUCCAUCUAGCUCAGUAUUGUCUACAUUGACUGGCAGCAGUUUCACCAAAUAUUCGCCAGAUGCAACAGUUUCCAGGAAAACAUUUUGGAUCAAAUUCAUUUCAGCUCUGGAAUCUCGUACGGAUAGCCUGGGACACUCUUUACAUUUUUGUGUUCCAUUCCACAUGCUGUGGAAUUGGAGGCAUUUUCCAGGGAUUUUCAGGGUCAGUGGGCAACAUUUGGGGAAAGGGCCUCUGCUCACUACCUCUGCUGGAGUGUCUCCCAAGAGUUUCCAGCUGGUAUUUGAAUUCCCACCCCUGCAAAGAUUCCAGAACAAUGGUAUUUGAUUAUGUCAGGUCAUCCUGACAAGCACUUCUAGGCAAAAAAGAAUCUAUUUCUGCAAAAUAUAUGUCCAGCCUAAGUAUUUUUAUCUGAAGAAUAAAGUAGCCUAAGUUGA